AUGGCGGAGACGAUGGUGAGCAUGGCGAGGUCCAUGGUGAGGGGCGCCAUCAGCGUGGCUGCUUCUGCCGCUGCCGCUGAGGUGGGCCUCCUCGUCGGCGUCCGAAAGGAUAUCUGGUUCAUCAAAGACGAACUCGAGACGAUGCAAGCAUUCCUGGAGGUUGCUGAAACAAUAAAGAAGAAAGAUGUGCUCCUCAAGGUUUGGGCAAAACAAGUAAGGGAUCUGUCCUACAAUAUUGAAGAUUGCCUCAGUGAGUUCAUGAUGCAUGUGGGAAGCCAAAGCUUCUUGCGUCGGCUCAUGAAGCUCAAAGGUCGCCAUCGGAUCUCUGUACGGAUCCGCGAUCUCAAGACAAGGGUUGAAGAAGUGAGCAUCAGGAACACUCGCUACAACUUGAUCAAGACGGAUGCCUCCAACACAAUUGGUGAGGGGGAUUCUUACAUGGAAGAUGUUCGCAAUCUCUCGGCUAGCAAUAUCGACGAAGCAGGUCUUGUAGGCUUUUCCAAGUCUAAGGAGGAGUUGAUUAAGUUGAUGGAUUUCAAGUCUCAAGAGGAUAGUGCCAAGGUGGCAUUUGUUGUUGGCAUGGGUGGUUUAGGAAAGACUACUCUUGCAAGGAAGACAUUUGAAAGUAAGAAAGAUACAGUGAAAAGUUUUUCUUGUCGUGCUUGGAUUACAGUCUCACAGACAUUUUCCAAGAUAGAGAUGUUGAAGGAUAUGAUCAUGCAACUUUUUGGAUAUGAAGAACUAAAGAAGCGGUUGAAGGAACUUGAGGGAAAGACGGUGCAAGUAGAUGAUCUCGCCAGCUAUCUCAGGAGAAGAGGUACUUUAUUGUUCUUGAUGACUUGUGGUCCAUUGAUGCGUGGAGGUGGAUCAAAGAUAUUGCUUUUCCUAGUGAUAGAUGAAGCCAUAGAUUUGCUACUCAAAAAGAUUGGGAAAACACACACAGAAAUAGGAAGUGAUGAAAGGAUGCGGAAUGUGAUAUCCAAAAUAGUAAAGAAGUGUGGUGGUUUACCAUUGGCUAUACUCACCAUAGGAGGUUUGCUUGCUACCAGAGUGGUAGAAAUGUGGGAGAGUAUUUAUGAGCAGAUUCCCUCAGAGCUUGAGACUAACCCAAGCCUUGAAGUAAUGACGAGGAUGGUCACUCUUAGUUACAACCACUUGCCAUCUCAUCUUAAAUCAUGCUUUUUGUACUUAAGCAUCUUUCCGGAGGAUUUUGAAAUCAAGAGAAGCCGUUUGGUCGAUAGAUGGAUAGCGGAGGGGUUUGUUAGAGCUAGUGGCGGAGUGAAUGUUGUGGAUAUUGGCAUACGCUAUUUCAAUGAGCUAAUCAACCGAAACAUGAUUCAACCAUCAAAAGUGAACAUGGAAGGAAUUGUUAAGAGCUGUCGGGUCCAUGAUAUCAUGCGUGAUGUAAUGGUCUCGAUUUCUAGAGAUGAAAACUUUGUGCACCUGGUGGGAGAUAGUGAAGCCAAUAUAAUAGAGGCGAAUUUCCGUCAUGUAGCAUACCAUGGUAGCAAGUGCCAAAAUAUUGGCAUGGAUUGGAGCCAUGUCCGGUCAUUAACAAUGUUUGGUGAAAGACCAACAGAGCCCUCACCUUCAGUUUGCUCAGGCAACAUGAGGAUGCUUAGAGCCUUGGAUCUAAAGAAUACAUGUCCAUACGGAGAUUACGAGGUUUGCAAAACUUGGAUAUUAGAGAUAGUUAUAUUACAGCACUACCAACUACCAAGUGGGAUCUGUGAACUCCAGAGUCUCCACAGCCUUCGUUGUAGCAAAAGACCAGAAUCCAUGUAUUUUAGUCCAAAUUACCGCAUGGAUUGUUUGAUGGAGACAUUGCGCCUGCCCUUGCUAUGCACACAUUUGGUUGAUCACGAAGAGAGUGCUCACCUAGUUGCUGAGCUACAUAUGGGGAUCUCUAGCCGGUGGUUCAAGACAGAAGGUGUGAGGAUUCCAAGAGGGAUCGGCAACUUAAAGGAGCUACAGAUACUAGAGCUGGUGGACAUCAAACAAACUGGCAAGAAAGCAAUUAAAGAGUUGGGGCAGCUUAUUCAACUAAGAAAACUGAGCAUGGUAGGUAAAGGAAGGUUUGCGGAGCAAAAACGCAAGAUACUGUAUCUCUGUGCCGCCAUAGAGAAGCUCUCUUCCCUGUGCUCUCUUAGUGUGGAUGCUGGAAGUGGAUCACUCGAGUGGUUGCAUAAUGUUUCCUCCCCUCCUCCCCUGCUAAAUAAGUUGAAGUUGGUCGGAGAAUUUGGAGGAAAGAUGCCCGAGUGGGUUGGAAGUCUGAAGCAUUUGGUGAAGAUUCACUUGGAGUGGAGCAGAAUAAAGGAAGAUCAAAUAACGGAAAUGCUAGGAAAGCUGCCCAAGCUCAUGCUCCUCAAUCUUUGCAUCUUUGCUUAUUAUGGGAAGAAGUUAGUGUUUAGAGAAGAAGCAUUCGUGAAUCUCAGAAAACUUUGCCUUACUGGUCAGUUUGAGCUGACCGAGGUGAGAUUCGAAAAGGGUGCCUCGCCCAAGAUGGAAAUGAUAGAAUUCAAUUCCUGCCAAUUGAAAUCAGGGAUUAUUGGUAUCAAUCACCUUCCAGUCCUCAAGCAGAUUUCACUUGGUAACUAUGGCAAAGUGGCGAAUCUUGGUAUGCUGCAAGCUGAAGUGGACGUACACCCCAACCAUCCGGGGCUGAAACUCUUCGGAGAUUGCAGCGAGCAUGACUUGGGGAAUGUCGUCCAAGGAUCCGAUGAUGCAGAAGCAGAGGAAGAACCAUCCCUUUUUCCUGAGCCUGCAGCAGUGGGAGAAAGCUCCUCGCUGGCGACGAACCUCAGGACACUAGACCUUCUCAACUUGGGACAACCUGGAGCAACACAUGAUGAAGCUGGACUAAUGGUGCACUGUCAUUGGUCCAAAAUUUGCUGCAGGUGGCUGCCUCGACAGUCAGACACUCCAUGCGCAUCUGAAGUGCGACCCGAGAUCAUCCUCAUAACUGAUGUUGUCGGCCUGCAAACACAUAGAUUCAGCUUGGGGGGCAAGUGGAAGAUCCAAUGGGUUAUACCACAAGCUAGCAAGGAAGCAACCGGAGGAAGCUCGGGGAAGACGUGGAGGAUCCAAUGGGCUAAUAUCACAAGAUGCUAUUCAAGUUUGGUAGCCGCCCGUGGCCGCCAAAGCUAUGCUCCCUGA
rnacentral:rRNA from 1 species